GUCGGCGCACCGCCCGGCGGCAAAUUCCACCGUCGGGCGGUCCAGGGCGAGGAGUAGGCACCUGACGUGGGCGCUGGGCAGAUUUACGAUUAGAGACAAACCAACGGGCGGUAGACCCCUGCCGCCGGGCGGUAGUGCGAUUUGAGGGAAACCGUCGGGCGCCACACUUGUUCUGCCGGGCGGUUGUCUGCUGGGCUUGAGCCUGUUUUCUGUUGCGCUCCUCACCUAUAAAUAGCCCUAGUGCGAGUUUA
rnacentral:lncRNA from 1 species